GAGGAUGUAGCUCAGUGGUAGAGCCCAUGCUUAGCAUACAGAGGGUCCUGGGUUCAAUCCCCAGUACCUCCU
rnacentral:tRNA from 1 species